AUGGGAGAGUACCCAUAUAAUGAUGAUCCACCAAAACAUCAUCGGCGUUUCCAAUACGAAUGGCUCGAGUUUUCACCUUACACAAAGCGUGCAUAUUGCUGCCAUUGUUUCCUCUUCUCAAGAAAGCCAAUUGGGAAGUGCGGGUCAGAAACAUUUAAUGUCUUGGGCUUUGAUAGGUGGAAGAAGGUGAAUAAUGGGAAAGAGUGUGCUUUUUAAACUCAUAUGGGUAAAGAUGCUGGUUCAACCCAUAAGUUCUCGGUUUGUUGUUAUGAGAAUUUUAAAAACAUCAUGACUCAUAUCGAUAAGGUGUUUGUGAAAGCAUAUGCAAAAACGACUGUAGAUGCAAGGUGAAGGCUCAAAGUUACAAUUGAUUCCAUUCGGUAA
rnacentral:rRNA from 1 species